UACAGAGGAUGCAAGCGUUAUCCGGAAUGAUUGGGCGUAAAGCGUCUGUAGGUGGCUUUUUAAGUCCGCCGUCAAAUCCCAGGGCUCAACUCUGGACAGGCGGUGGAAACUACCAAGCUGGAGUACGGUAGGGGCAGAGGGAAUUUCCGGUGGAGCGGUGAAAUGCGUAGAUAUCGGGAAGAACACCCGUGGCGAAGGCGGCUCUCUGGGACGGUACUGACGCUGAGACGCGAAAGCGUGGGGAGCGAACGAGG
rnacentral:rRNA from 1 species